rnacentral:rRNA from 1 species
AUUGAACGCUGGCGGCAGGCCUAACACAUGCAAGUCGAACGAGUGGCGGACGGGUGAGUAAUGUCUGGGAAACUGCCUGAUGGAGGGGGAUAACUACUGGAAACGGUAGCUAAUACCGCAUACCAUCGGAUGUGCCCAGAUGGGAUUAGCUAGUCGGUGGGGUAACGGCGCACCUAGGCGACGAUCCCUAGCUGGUAUGAGAGGAUGACCAGGAACACUGGAACUGAGACACGGGCCAGACUCCGACGGGAGGCAGUAGUGGGGAAUAUUGGACAAUGGGCGAAAGCCUGAUCCAGCCAUGCCGCGUGUGUGAAGAAGGUCUUCGGAUUGUAAAGCACUUUAAGUUGGGAGGCGUUACCAACAGAAUAAGCACCGGCUAACUUCGUGCCAGCAGCCGCGGUAAUUC